CAAGGUAGGACCCUGGCCAAGACACCCCAGACCCUGGCCACAAUCACCCAAACCCAGACGGCAGCACGAGCCAUGUCUCACCUUGGGAUCUCUCCUGCCACCACCGCCAGAGGAGGGGUCUCGGCCCCACGCAGCCUGGCCCGGCCUUCGGCUUCCACCCUACAAGGGACCCAAGAGACAAGGUGACACCCACAGUGAGACGCCAUCGACUGGGCUCCUCGGGCGGUCGGCGCUGCCCCGUUGGGCUCGAGGAUGGAAAGGCAGGAAGAGAAAGGCAUUCCUCCCCGCACGGCCACUGGGCAACCCAAGGGGCCCGCCCCACCCAACGAGGCCUCGCCAUCCCUCGGGGGGGCCUCUAGGACCCGUCCCCUGGCUUUCGGUCUCUCUGGGCCGCGGAGGACCAGCUGGGCCCCUGUGCAGGACGUCCAAGAGACCUUCCUAGCCAGAGCUGUCCCAUCCCUGGGACGCCAGAGCCCUUCUGGACUGCUGGCCUCGCCCGCAUCUGCCGCCCCCCCUCCACCAGCCCCUCGCACUGCCCUGCCCAGCCCAGCCCCGACAAGCCCUGGGAUGCUGCUCACACUGGCCUUCUGGAUCCAGAGACAACGCUGCCAUCCUCGCCUGCUCAUCCAGGAAGGAGCCUG
rnacentral:lncRNA from 1 species